rnacentral:lncRNA from 1 species
CUUCUUUGAUGUGACAAAUUUUAGGACAACCUGAAUCAACUACACCUCCUAAUCUUGCUUCAGAUUCAAUGCACAUAUCUGCAUAAAUAUAAGAAAAACUCACUCUGAUGGAUAGAAAAUUCAGAUUUUAAUUUCUAACUUACCGGAGGGAGUACUCCACAUACAUUUCUAGCCACUAGUAAUAUUUAGGAUCCGGAUUUUUUCCUGUCUUUCCUCUUCAGUUUUAUGUCCUGUGCAGAUAUGAACCGUCCAUCAAUAAUACUAUAGUGUUGAUUGUUAAUGUUUAACAAAAAUCAAUGGUUGAGAUCAA